rnacentral:rRNA from 1 species
AUUGAACGCUGGCGGCAGGCCUAACACAUGCAAGUCGAACGAGUGGCGGACGGGUGAGUAAUGUCUGGGAAACUGCCUGAUGGAGGGGGAUAACUACUGGAAACGGUAGCUAAUACCGCAUACCAUCGGAUGUGCCCAGAUGGGAUUAGCUAGUAGGUGGGGUAAAGGCUCACCUAGGCGACGAUCCCUAGCUGGUCUGAGAGGAUGACAAGCAAAACUGGAACUGGGAAACGGUCCAGACGCCUACGGGAGGAAGCAGUGGGGAAUAUUGCACAAGGGGCGAAAGCUUGAUGCAGCAAUGCCGCCUGUAUGAAGAAGGCCUUCGGGUGGUAAAGUACGUUCAGCGGGGAGGCGUUAACCGCAGAAGAAGCACCGGCUAACUCCGUGCCAGCAGCCGCGGUAAUAC